GAUGAACGCUGGCGGCGUGCUUAACACAUGCAAGUCGAACGAAGCAAUUUAACGGAAGUUUUCGGAUGGAAGUUAAAUUGACUGAGUGGCGGACGGGUGAGUAACGCGUGGGUAACCUGCCUCAUGCAGGGGGAUAACAGUUAGAAAUGACUGCUAAUACCGCAUAAGCGCACAGGAUCGCAUGGUCCGGUGUGAAAAACUGCGGUGGUAUGAGAUGGACCCGCGUCUGAUUAGCUAGUUGGUGGGGUAACGGCCUACCAAGGCGCCGAUCACUAGCCGACCUGAGAGGGUGACCGGCCACAUUGGGACUGAGACACGGCCCAAACUCCUACGGGAGGCAGCAGUGGGGAAUAUUGCACAAUGGGCGAAAGCCUGAUGCAGCGACGCCGCGUGAGCGAAGAAGUAUUUCGGUAUGUAAAGCUCUAUCAGCAGGGAAGAAAAAUGACGGUACCUGACUAAGAAGCACCGGCUAAAUACGUGCCAGCCGCCGCGGUAAUAC
rnacentral:rRNA from 1 species